rnacentral:tRNA from 1 species
UCUCUGGUGGCUCAGAUGGUAAAGAGUCCGCCUGCAAUGCAGGAGGCCCAGGUUCGAUCCCUGGGUCGAGAA